rnacentral:rRNA from 1 species
CACGUAGUUAGCCGUGGCUUCCUCCUUGGGUACCGUCAUUAUCGUCCCCCAAAGACAGAGCUUUACAACCCGAAGGCCUUCAUCACUCACGCGGCGUUGCUGCAUCAGGGUUUCCCCCAUUGUGCAAUAUUCCCCACUGCUGCCUCCCGUAGGAGUCUGGGCCGUGUCUCAGUCCCAACGUGGCCGAUCACCCGUCUCAGGUCGGCUACGCAUCGUCGCCUUGGUGAGCCAUUACCUCACCAACUAGCUAAUGCGCCGCGGGUCCAUCUUAUAGCGGAUUGCUCCUUUGGUUAUCGAUCCAUGCGAAUCAACAACUUUAUGCGGUAUUAACUCUUCCUUUCGGAAGGCUAUCCCCCGUCUAUAAGGCAGGUUACCCACGUGUUACUCACCCGUCCGCCGCUAAUCCGUUCCCGAAGGAACUUCAUCGCUCGACUUGCAUGUGUUAGGCACGCCGCCAGCGUUCGUCUCGUAGCCACGGACUCGUAAACUC